rnacentral:rRNA from 1 species
AAUCAACGCUGGCGGCGUGCCUCAGACAUGCAAGUCGAACGCGAAAGUUCCCUUCGGGGGAGCGAGUAGAGUGGCGUCCGGGUGAGUAACACGUAGGUAAUCUACCUUUGGGUGGGGAAUAACAACCGGAAACGGUUGCUAAUACCGCAUAAUGCAGCGGCACCGCAUGGUGACAGUUGUUAAAGCGGGGGGAUCGCAAGACCUCGCGCCUAAAGAGGAGCCUGUGGCGGAUUAGCUAGUGGCAGGGUAACGGCCUACCAAGGCAACGAUCCGUAGCCGGCCUGAGAGGGGCGGUCGGCCACACUGACACUGAAAUACGGGUCAGACUCCUACGGGGAGGCAGCAGUCGGGAAUUUUGGGCAAUGGGCGCAAGCCUGACCCAGCAACGCCGCGUGAAGGAU